rnacentral:misc_RNA from 1 species
UCAAACAAAAACAUUGAACGUGGUUAUCUUUCAUUGUUUACUGGCUGUAAAAUAUUUGGGAUUUAUUCUUUACAUUGCUUUUUAUUGUUAAAAAAUCCCAAAUCAUAGUUGAAAAGGUGCUCAAAAUAUUUUCCUUCUGUUUCUGCAAUAAAAACUGCAGGAAUAUCAUUUUAUACUACAUUAAUCAUAAUAUGUAAAAAAUUGAAACUCUAAGAUGAUUCUGGAAGAUAUUAAGGAAAUACUUAUAGUGACUGCCACAGUAAGCACUAUUCUACAGUUUAUGUCUGGGAUGUUGGUUUGUCAAAAAUUCAUGAAAAAAGGUUCAACAGAGCAGGAGUCCGGAUUUCCGUUUAUCGCUGGAUUUCUGUCAUGCUCCCUAUGGUUCGUUACGGUUUAAUGAUUGAGGAUCAAGCCACGGUGUUGGUUAAUUUUAUUGGAACAAUUCUUAUGUUCGCAUGUGUUGUAACAUAUUACCUUUUUACGCCAAGAAAAAAAGUCGUGAUGAGACAAAUGUUCAUAGUGCUAAUAGUAAUUGUUGUCACACAUUUAUAUGCAAGAUAUGAAGAAAAUACAAAGUUGGCAAUAAAAAGAUUUGGACUCAUUACUUGUUGUACGUCCCUCGUAUUUUUCGCUGCUCCUCUUUCAAAUUUGUACCAUGUGAUAAGGAUGAAGAAUACUGAAACCCUACCUUUCCCUCUCAUUCUAAUGACUUGGGUGGUAUCUCUACAAUGGUAUACCUAUGGAGUCAUCAUCAAAAAUACUUUUAUGCAGUAUCCAAACAUGAUCGGCUUUGUUCUGGCGUCCUUUCAACUUCUAUUAUUUGUGAUUUAUCCAUCGUACCAAUCACCCAAUGUCUAUCUCAAGGACCAGUCAGCUAGAUUGAUCAUCCAAUAACAGUACAAGAGUGAGAGAAACAUGUUUCUAGGUGGUUGAAACAUGUUUGCAGGUGAUUAAAACAUGUGAUUAGUGAGAGAAACAUGUUUCGAGGUGGUUGAAACAUGUUUGCAGAUGAUUAAAACAUGUGAUUUGGUGAUAUAAACCUUUUUAGGUAACUGAAAACAUGUUUUUGAGUUGUUGAAACGCGUUUUUAGAAUAUUUUAACUUGUUUCAGAUGAUUAAUACAUGUGAUUAGUGAGAGAAACAUGUUUCUUGGUGGUUGAAACAUGUUUACAGGUGAUUAAAACAUGUGAUUUGGUGAUAUAAACCUUUUUAGGUGACUGAAAACAUGUUUUUGAGUUGUUGAAACGCGUUUUUAGACUAUUUUAACUUGUUUCAGAUGAUUAAUACAUGUGAUUACUGAGAGAAACAUGUUUCUAGGUGGUUGAAACAUGUUUACAGGUGAUUAAAACAUGUGAUUUGGUGAUAUAAACCUUUUUAGGUGACCGUAAACAAGUUUUUAAGUUGUUGAAACGCGUUUUUAGACUAUUUUAACUUGUUUCAGAUGUUUAAACAUGCGCUUAUGCCAUGUAAACAUCUCUCAGGUGAUUUGAAACAUGUUUUUGGUGACUGAAACGUUUUUAUUUAGUAACUAGCAGGUAACCCGUGCUCCGCAAAGGUCUAUUUUAAAAUUUGAC